rnacentral:rRNA from 1 species
CUAACAAGGAUUCCCCUAGUAACUGCGAGUGAAGAGGGAAGUGCUCAAAUUUGUAAUCUGGCGGCCUCAGGUCGUCCGAGUUGUAGUCUAGAGAAGCGUUUUCCGUGCCGGACCGCAUACAAGUCCCUUGGAAUGGGGCAUCGCGGAGGGUGAGAAUCCCGUACGUGAUGYGGACCGCCGGUGCUCUGUGAAGCGCUCUCGAAGAGUCGAGUUGUUUGGGAAUGCAGCUCAAAGUGGGUGGUAAAUUCCAUCUAAAGCUAAAUAUUGGCGAAAGACCGAUUGCGAACAAGUACCGUGAGGGAAAGAUGAAAAGGACUUUGGAAAGAGAGUUAAACAGUACGUGAAAUUGUUGAAAGGGAAACGCUUGGAGUCAGUCGCGUCGAACGGGGUCUCAGUCGGGUACGCCCGAUGUACUCCCCGCGACGGGCCAGUAUCGAUUUCGACCGUCGGAGAAAGGUCGAGGGAACGUGGCACCUUCGGGUGUGUUAUAGCCCUCGGUCUUAUGCGACGGUGGGGAUCGAGGAUCGCAGCGCGCCUGUUGAAGCCGGGUUCGCCCACGUUUUAACGCGCUUAGAUACUGGCGUAAUGGCUUCAA